UCCGGUGGGCUUCACAAGCUGUGGGGUGUCACUGUUAAGGUGAGAUGAGAGAAUUGAGGUUUGGAGUUGUUAAGCAGCUUGCCCAAAGUCACCUUGCAGAAGAUCCCUCUGGCUGCCGUGGAGAAUGGAUUGGAAGGAGCCAGAAUGCCUGAGGAAGAUAGAGCUUUUAGGAGUCUGUUGUAGUUGCACAGGUAGGAGAUGAUAAUGACUUGGAUUAUAUCUGGCAGUGGAAUUAGGAGAAUAAAUUUGAGAGAUACUUAAGAAAUAGCAUAUAUGAGCCUUGUAGUAUUUGGACAUGGGAAGUAAGGAUUCAAGGACAACCUCCUGCUUUCUGGCUUGGGCAAGUUGGUGAAUGGUGGACCAGUGUCUGACUCCUACAAACUGAGUAUGCUCUCAUACCCACUGCACUGCCUUCUUUCACUGUUUGUCACAGAUAACUUAUCAAUCUAAUUUUUCCUUACAAUAGUAUAUAUUCCAUAAGUGCAAGAACCAUGUCCCUCUUGUUCCAUGCCCAUCACAAGUGCCUGGCAUAUAACAGGGGGAAAUAAAUAAUGAAUGAAUGACAGAUAGGUGGAAACCAGAUCCUGAAAGACCUUCCUUAGCAUGUUAAGGAGCUUUGAUUUACCAGCAGUUUGUCCAGCCUGCGGCCCACAGGCCACAUGUGGCUCAUGGCUCAGGAUGGCUUUGAAUGCAACCCAACACAAAUUCGUAAACUUUAUUGAAACAUUGUGAGGUUUUUUGCGAUUUUUUUAAAGCUCAUCAGCUAUUGUUGGUGUAUUUUAUGUGUGGCCCAAGACAAUUCUUCUUCUUCCAGUGUGGCCCAAGGAAGCCAAAAGAUUGGACACCCCUGAUUUGGCACAUAGCCUAACGCUUAAGUACUUAGCUUACCUUAAAAAAACAAACAACCAUUCUUCUUCUUCCAGUGUGGCCCAGGGAAGCCAAAAGAUUGGACACCCCUGAUUUAGCACAUUGUCUAAUGGCUAAGUACUCAGCUUACCUUAAAAAAACAAACAGCCCCCCAAUCUAGCAGAAAGGAAAACCAAUGAUUAAUUUAUGGAAUCUGCCAGAAGCUCAGGAAUUGGAGAUAUCACGUAUCUUCAUAAGUUGGGGUAAAGGGUAGUUAAAAUGAGAGGAACUGGUUGAAAGUCUAUUUAAGAAGCAGUUAGAGCUCCCCAAAUCCUCUUCUGACCCAGUGCAGCCAAGUGAAUGCUUCUUCCCCACUCUAGAAAAAUAAUGGAGGAUUCUUCUCUACAGUGAUUAAAAUAGUAUUUGCCAGGCACAGUGGCACCAGCCUAUAGUCCCAUCUACUCGGAAAGCUGAUGUGGGAGGAUUGCUUGAGCCUAGGAGUUCAGCCAGCCUGGGCAACACAGUGGGGACUCCCCCCCACCCCCCGUCAGUGUCAAAAAAAAUAAAAUAGUAGUGUCUCUGGACUUGGGGGCACCAGACAUUAUUGAGAGUGGGUAGUGCCCUACUGAAUGGUGGAAGACUGAGUGGAAAUGCAUGCCUAUACACACCUUCCCCUACUGCUCCCAGAACAUUGGCAGCCAGGCCUUCACCCUCCAGGAAGAUAUAGGAGAAUUUUUUAUGGGUGAAAUGACCAGUAUCAAAGAAAAGACAAUCAUCUGACAUCAGAAAUCUCUAAAUAAAUGAUUUAGCCACAUCACAUUAUAGCAGUGGUUCUCAACUGGUGCCAGUUUUCUACUUCUCCCAUCCCCUGGCACAUCUGGCAGUGUCUACAGACAGUUUUGGUGGUUGCAAUUGGGAAGAUCUUACAGGCAUCUAUUGAGUAGAAGUUGAAGAUGCUGCAAAAUACUCUAGGACAGACUCCCUUCCUACCCAAACAAAAAAUUACCUGGCCCCAAAUACCACUAUUACAGAGUUUGAGAAAUCCUGCUUUAUAAUAAAGCUCACGCUUUGCAAGCCUCACUAAGGCACUCAGAACUUCCAUUCAGCUUUUAAGUCCCACUCUUAUAUAUGAGUAAACCAGCAAGGAUUACCAAGCUGAGGAGCGCCUUUAACACAGUGUAUAGAGGUCAAAACAAAUAGAGCAGCAAAAGCAGCUUGGAGGAAACUAACUGCAAGGAGAAUAAAACUUUUAAAAAGUGAACAUAUCCGCAGAGAGAUAGGAAGAGAUAUUGUAACCAUGAAAUAAUAUCAGGAUGUUAUUAUUUUCAAAGAAAGGUAUUCUUAGCAGAACAAAAGAGAGCUAUUGGAAUUUUAAAGCUAUUACCAGAAAUGAAAAACCCAGUAGAAGUGUCAGAAGAUAAAGGUGAAGAAAUCUCUCAGAAAGAAAAACAAAAAGACCAA